rnacentral:rRNA from 1 species
GAUGAACGCUGGCGGCGUGCCUAACACAUGCAAGUCGAGCGAACAGACCAUGCUUUUGCUCCUUUCACGUUAGCCGCGGACGGGUGAAUAACACGUGGAUAACCCCCCUAUAUUUCUGAUAUCAUUACGGGAAACCGGAUCAUAUCCCGUAUAAUCUACUGCACCGUAUGGUUCAAUAGAGAUUUUCGGCUUUGCUGGCUCGACUCGCUGCUUCCCGGCUGGAUUAGCUAGUUGGUAGGGUAACGGCCUACCAAGGCGACUAUGCGUAGCCGAUCGGAGAGGAUGAUCGGCCACACUGGAACUGAGACACGGACCAGACUCCUACGGGAGGCAGCAGUGGGGAAUGGUCGGCAGUGGGCGGAAGCCUGACGCAGCGACGCCGAGUGAGUGAUGAAGGUCUUCGGAGCGUAAAGAUCUGUUAUUGGGGAAGAACAGAUGUGGAAUUAGAUGUAGCGGUCUUGACGGUACCUAAUCAAGAAGCAACGGCUAACUACGUG